UUCGCCUGUUUUAUCAAAAACAUCGCCUUUUGUUAGUUAUAAUAGGUCUGGCUUGCCAGUGAAAAAUUCAACGGCCGCGGUACUCUGACCGUGCGAAGGUAGCGCAAUCACUUGUUUUUUAAAUAAAGACUAGUAUGAAUGGUAUUACGAGGAUUAAACUGUCUCCUUUCUAUAAUCAGUGAAACUAAUCUCCUUGUGAAAAAGCAAGGAUGCUAUUGUAAGACGAAAAGACCCUAUGGAGCUUCAAAUAAGUAAUUAAUGUUUUCAGUUUUUCAUAAAGCAGUUUAGUUAUAAGUUUUUGGCUGGGGUGGCCGCGGAGAAAAAUAUAUCCUCCAUGACGAUUAUUAGUUAAACAAAGCUACGGUUAUAUUUAGCAAUAAAUUGAUGUACUGACCCAAUAUUUGAUCAUCGAACUAAGUUACCCUAGGGAUAACAGCGCAAUUCAUUUUGAAAGUCCUUAUUGACAAAUGGGAUUACGACCUCGAUGUUGGAUCAGGGCAUCCUGGUGGUGUAGCCGCUACUAAAGGUUCGCUUGCUCAUCGAUUAAAGCCCUACGUGAUCUGAGUUUAGACCGGAGAAAUCCAGGUCGGUUUUCU
rnacentral:rRNA from 1 species